rnacentral:rRNA from 1 species
AACGAACGCUGGCGGCAUGCCUAACACAUGCAAGUCGAACGAGACCUUCGGGUCUAGUGGCGCACGGGGGCGUAACGCGUGGGAACCUGCCCUUAGGUUCGGAAUAACGCCCCGAAAGGGGUGCGAAUACCGGAUAAUGUCUUCGGACCAACGAGUUAUCGCGUUUGGAGGGGCCCGCGUUGGCUUCGCUAGUUGGGAGGGUAAAAGGCUACCAAGGCGACGAUCCAUAGCUGGUCAGAGAGGAUGAUCAGCCACACUGGUAGUGAGACACGGCCCAGACUCCUACACGAUGGGGCAGUGGCGAAUAUUGGCCUGUGGGCGGAAGCCUGAUCCACCUCUGACGCGUGAGUGCUGAAGGUCUUAAGGUUGUAAAGCUCUUUUACCCCGGAUGAUAAUGACAGUACCAGCAGAAUAAGCUCCGGCUAACUCCGUG